rnacentral:rRNA from 1 species
UACAGGGGGGGCAAGCGUUGUUCGGAAUUACUGGGCGUAAAGGGUUCGUAGGUGGCCAACUCAGUCAGACGUGAAAUCCCUCAGCUUAACUGGGGAACUGCGUCUGAUACUGGAUGGCUUGAGUGCAGGAGAGGAACGCGGAAUUCCAGGUGUAGCGGUGAAAUGCGUAGAUAUCUGGAGGAACACCGGUGGCGAAGGCGGCGUUCUGGACUGCAACUGACACUGAGGAACGAAAGCCAGGGGAGCAAACGGG